UACGUAGGGUGCGAGCGUUAAUCGGAAUUACUGGGCGUAAAGGGUGCGCAGGCGGUUCUGCAAGUCAGGCGUGAAAUCCCCGGGCUCAACCUGGGAAUGGCAUUUGGGACUGCAAGGCUUGAGUGCGGCAGAGGAGACUGGAAUUCCUGGUGUAGCAGUGAAAUGCGUAGAUAUCAGGAGGAAUACCGAUGGCGAAGGCAGGUCUCUGGGCUGACACUGACGCUCAUGCACGAAAGCGUGGGGAGCAAACAGG
rnacentral:rRNA from 1 species